rnacentral:misc_RNA from 1 species
GAUGAAGAACGCAGCGAAAUGCGAUACGUAAUGUGAAUUGCAGAAUUCAGUGAAUCAUCGAGUCUUUGAACGCACAUUGCGCCCCCUGGUAUUCCGGGGGGCAUGCCUGUCCGAGCGUCAUUGCUGCCCUCAAGCCCGGCUUGUGUGUUGGGUCUCGUCCCCCUUCCCGGGGGGACGGGCCCGAAAGGCAGCGGCGGCACCGCGUCCGGUCCUCGAGCGUAUGGGGCUUUGUCACCCGCUCUGUAGGCCCGGCCGGCGCUUGCCGAUCAACCAAAACUUUUUUCCAGGUUGACCUCGGAUCAGGUAGGGAUACCCGCUGAACUUAAGCAUAUCAAAAGCGGAGGA